GAGUUUGAUCAUGGCUCAGAGCGAACGCUGGCGGCAGGCCUAACACAUGCAAGUCGAGCGGCCGUAGCAAUACGGCAGCGGCAGACGGGAGAGUAACACGUGGGAGCGUGCCCUUCGGUUCGGAAUAACUCGGGGAAACCCGUGCUAAUACCGAAUACGCCCUUACGGGAAAGAUUUAUCGCCGAUGGAGCGGCCCGCGUCUGAUUAGCUAGUUGGUGAGGUAACGGCUCACCAAGGCGACGAUCAGUAGCUGGUCUGAGAGGAUGAUCAGCCUCACUGGGACUGAGACACGGCCCAGACUCCUACGGGAGGCAGCAGUGGGGAAUAUUGGACAAUGGGCGCAAGCCUGAUCCAGCCAUGCCGCGUGGAUGAUGAAGGCCUUAGGGUUGUAAAGUCCUUUUAGCGGGAAGAUAAUGACGGUACCGCAGAAAAGCCCGGCUAACUUCGUGCCAGCAGCAGCCGCUGUAAU
rnacentral:rRNA from 1 species